GUACCUUUAGCUCAGUUGGUUAGAGCAGGCGGCUCAUAACCGUCCGGUCGUAGAUGGGGUACA
rnacentral:tRNA from 1 species